CCUACGGGCGGCAGCAGUGAGGAAUAUUGGUCAAUGGGCGCUAGCCUGAACCAGCCAAGUAGCGUGAAGGAUGACUGCCCUAUGGGUUGUAAACUUCUUUUAUAUGGGAAUAAAGUGCAGUAUGUAUACUGCUUUGCAUGUACCUUAUGAAUAAGGAUCGGCUAACUCCGUGCCAGCAGCCGCGGUAAUACGGAGGAUUCGAGCGUUAUCCGGAUUUAUUGGGUUUAAAGGGAGCGUAGGCGGGUUGUUAAGUCAGUUGUGAAAGUUUGCGGCUCAACCGUAAAAUUGCAGUUGAUACUGGCAGCCUUGAGUACAGUAGAGGUAGGCGGAAUUCGUGGUGUAGCGGUGAAAUGCUUAGAUAUCACGAAGAACUCCGAUUGCGAAGGCAGCCUGCUGGACUGUAACUGACGCUGAUGCUCGAAAGUGUGGGUAUCAAACAGGAUUAGAUACCCCAGUAGUC
rnacentral:rRNA from 1 species